UUUCAGCGCAUCAUAUAUAAAGUGUUAAUUAGUUGAGUUAAUAUACAAUAGUUGUUUAUUUUCAUUUUCUGAGAGUGUGUAACCUAAGUGAAUUUUUUGAGUGGGUACGUCAAGUGAAUAAAUUGAAAAAUAAAAUGCUUCUGUUCUUAUUGGAAACUGAGUUGGGAGUUAUAAAGAUUAUUGUAUAAAAAGAAAUUCAAUCGAGACUGGCAUACGGAAUCAUAGUAUGGGGACAAUCACCUGCUGCCAAACGUCUCUUCAUUACACAGAAAAAAGUGCAUUCGUGUUUCGCAAACCCCAAACAGAAUCUAGUAACCUCUCUUUAGAAAGCUACAAGUAUUAUCCCUUAUUUCUCUUUACAUAUCGGAAACUGCUUGUUACAUUUACAAACAAGGAAAUACUCUGUUCUGUCGUAAUGACAUUUACGGUUGUUCCACCAGGAAUCACCAUUUGCUGAAUAAUCCUCAAAACCGAUUGAACUUACCGCAAAACGGUUCUUUAAGCAUCAGAAUUCGAAUUGUUAAUAAAAUUCCCCAAAACAUCAAAGAUGAAUUUAUCUAUUUCAGAUUCAAGAAAUCACUGAAAAAGUACUAAUUGAGGGUGCAUUCUAUACUUUGGAAGAAUUUUUUAUUAUGUAAAUCACUGAUAGUAUAUUCUGUCGUACUCUGUGUGUAAUUGCAUAUUUUACCUUGAUAUUGAAAUUGUAAUGUACACUGUCUGUACUUGUACUUAUCAUUUUAAAAUUUAACUUUUUACUCUGUAAUUUUGCUUUUUGUCUCUAUAAUUAAAAUUUUUGACAUGUCUUA